GGUGUCCCAUGAACAUCAAUCAAAGAGGAGACUGGUUCAUCCAACAUUGAUACUUUAUUGAGACACAACCUUAUCAUAUAUUCAUCACUUACAGAACACUAAGAUGCCUAAGAAGGUAAGGUGGUGACAUAGGUUACAGUUUAUAACAUCAGCGAAUACAGAAUCUGAAGCAGAAGAACUUGAUCAUUGACACUGAAUAAUGUUACAACAAUAGCUACACUCCUUGCUGAUCAUCUACAAAAGCUUCAAAUCUGAAUCUGUUGAUGAUGUAACCGACUUUGGAUGAUAGGACAGAAAACUCCCGGUCUUCAGCUAGUGAUCCAGAGGGCUUUCAUCUGCAUAUCCAGAUUGCAGCACAUCAUAAAAUUAAAGUGCCCAUGUUAUUUCAACGAUAACUUCUCCCUUUUCAAGAUAUAUCAACAAUUCAUCAAAUGCUUAUUAGACCUUAAGUGUAGGAAAAAUUCAAGUUUAGAAGCAACAUUAACUUCAAAGGCAUUACAAGAAUAACCUUAAGCCACAAUUGCAGAUCCAUUUAUUAGAACAGACAGAAGAUGAUAGUAAUGGAAAAGGGUACGCCAUAAAUUGAGCCACCAGGAACCUUUGGGUAAAUAAGUACAUACUGACACUGUGACCCGCAAUCACAUGCAUGUCUAUGAGUGUCGGUGAGUACACACAUGUGCAUCUUGAAGAACGAGACAGAGAUAGGAUUCCAAGCAUAUAGCAUUGAGGUUCAGGCUCUAUCUGAUAAAAUUUGACAAAUUUGUACAAGAAUUAUUGUAAAUGCGUAUUCACAAACAGACCACUCUAAAUGCAACCGUCUUCUAUUUUACAGCAUCACCCAUAGAUCAGCUAAGAUUUCAGGACCAACAGAAAUUCAAAAUUGUUGACAACUUCCCAAUAGUGAUGCAUCACUGAUUACCAUCAAUGUCACAGCCUUACGAUAAAAAAUAGAACAUCAAACAUAUCACACACAUUUGGGUCUGGUUUAUCUCCUCUGUCUGGUAUUUUACAUGGUAAAAGUAACCAGAUCAUACAAUUUCUGGUGAAUAAGAUCGAGCCGGACUCAUUUAAGGCCAAUGUGAGUACUGAGUACAAUACUAGUACAGGUUAAGCAGAAUUUAUGCAUUUCUAUCCAACACUAUCUCAGGUUAGAAUAGGUUUAAUAAAAUGGUAUGCCAAGUCAACUCCAAGCUGUUCUGUUUGACAUUCUACCUAGCUAAGCCUCUGUAAAUAAAGCAAAGUUUGAGUCUUUGAGAGAACCAUGACCAAAUCAGCCAAAGCAAUCUCAGCAUAUGUCCAGAUUCCAGAAGAACAAAGGUUGAACAGCAUACUUGCACCAGCUCAGUUUAACUUUUUGGUCCUCCCAAGUCCCAAUCAAGGAAGAAAAACUUAGAGGUUUGUAAGUUUCAAUGUGUUCCACAAACUUUUCAAAACUCAUGAGUGGGAAAAAGAAAGAUAAUGAUCCCAAAGACACAUCUCCGGCUUCUUCCUGCCAAAGAUACAAAUGAAGAAUAUUUCAAACGUCCCAAAUAAUUCUCCAUUUCUUCAAUCGCUUCACAUCAAAGUAUAUCCAUUGGCAGGAUUCAAAAUCCACCCUAAAAGAAUUGAAAAAUCUCCUAAACAUAGACAAUAUAGCACUUGGACAUGCACCCUCAACACCGAUACACGAGCCCCUGCAAUACAGCUCCAGUGCACUCGGAUGAAACGGUUUCUGCCAUGAAACUUUUCAGAAGCAACCAAAACUUAACAAAACUACCGUAAAAAGCCAAAAAAAAAUGCAGAAGAGAAAGAAUUACACUGCAAAACAGAAUCAAACAAAAACAAAAUCUACAUGUUUGCUGCAUACCCAUCAGAAUACAAGUUUUUUAAAAGCGUUAUUUGCAUCGAAAUUGGACUCAAAAUGACACCCAAAAUUUACUAACAUCAAAUUCAGUUCCAAUUCGCACGAUUCAACCAAAUUCAAUACCAAAAGCAUAAAAACACCCAACAAGGAGCAGCUAAAAAGCAUAAAUAUAGAAAAUUGAAUUCACCUGAACCAGAAGAGGAUUCAAACGCUUUAAAGACUUCUUUUCGAGCUCCAUUUGAGCAUCCAUGAAAAUGUUCAUCCUCUCGAACUCCAGUUCCUUAGUGAACUCCAUUCUC
rnacentral:misc_RNA from 1 species